UUGUGCAUCGUGUUUGUGGCACCCUCCAUGGAUCAUCUCUUGUGAGCUAUGCCUUCCUUGUGUAAAUUAUUAACCAUCAUGCGUCUCUCUCUUUGUCUCCAAUGUGAGUUUAUCUCUGGACUUCCCAGGUCGAUAUUGAAAGGUUUCCUGCAGGGGUUAGUCCAACGAAAUAUCCCAUAUCUACUAUAGCAUACUAUCAGUUCAAAAAUCAACCUAGACACCAUGU
rnacentral:lncRNA from 1 species